ACCGAUAACCAAGUGUGUUAGAGCAGUCAGAGCAAGAACCAGUGCACUGACAGCCAAGUGUGUUAGAGCAGUCACAGUCUCAUCCCACAGCCGGAAGCCCCAGGCACCGGCCCACACCAGCUUUCCUACCACCCAGGACACUCUUUCCCACCCACCAUAGAUUUUUCUAAAGUCUCAGUGCUUUUUUUUCUUAAAUAUUUACCUCUAACUAAAUCAUUACAUGCAUUUCCUGUGAGUUGUCUCAAAUUCUCCUCAGAACAAGAUGAGGAAUACAUUAAUAUUUAAAAUAAAAUGAAGCACGCGUGUGUG